rnacentral:pre_miRNA from 1 species
AUAUGAGUUUAUAUUUACAUAUACAUGUAUAUGUGUGUGUAUGGGAAAGGAUUUUAUAU